AGUGAACGCUGGCGGUGGGCCUAACACAUGCAAGUCGAACGGCAGCACAGUAAGAGCUUGCUCUUACGGGUGGCGACGGACGGACGGGUGAGGCAUACAUCGGCAUCUCCUCUUUCGGGGGGGAUAACGGAGGGAAACUUACGCUAAUACCUCAUACGACCUACGGCUGAAAUCAGGGGAUCUUAGGACCUUGCGCGUUUGAAUGAGCCGAUGGCGGAUUAGCUAGUUGGGGGGGGAAAGGCCCACCAAGGCGACGAUCCGUAGCCGGUCUGAGAGGGUGAUCAGCCAAAUUGGGAAUGAGACACGGCCCAAACUCCUACGGGAGGCAGCAGUAGGGAAUCUUCGGCAAUGGGCGGAAGUCUGACGCAGCAAAGCCGCGUGAGUGAAGAAGGUCUUCGGAUCGUAAAACUCUUUUGUUAGGGAAGAAAAAGUGCCAGAGUAACUCUCCGCGCCUUGACGGUAUCCAAAAAGAAAGCCACGGCUAACUACGUG
rnacentral:rRNA from 1 species